GACGAACGCUGGCGGCGUGCUUAACACAUGCAAGUCGAACGAAGAGCGACGGAAGCUUGCUUCUAUCAAUCUUAGUGGCGAACGGGUGAGUAACGCGUAAUCAACCUGCCCUUCAGAGGGGGACAACAGUUGGAAACGACUGCUAAUACCGCAUACGAUCUAACCUCGGCAUCGAGGAUAGAUGAAAGGUGGCCUCUACAUGUAAGCUAUCACUGAAGGAGGGGAUUGCGUCUGAUUAGCUAGGUGGAGGGGUAACGGCCCACCAAGGCGAUGAUCAGUAGCCGGUCUGAGAGGAUGAACGGCCACAUUGGGACUGAGACACGGCCCAGACUCCUACGGGAGGCAGCAGUGGGGAAUCUUCCGCAAUGGACGAAAGUCUGACGGAGCAACGCCGCGUGAGUGAUGACGGCCUUCGGGUUGUAAAGCUCUGUUAAUCGGGACGAAAGGCCUUCUUGCGAAUAGUGAGAAGGAUUGACGGUACCGGAAUAGAAAGCCACGGCUAACUACGUG
rnacentral:rRNA from 1 species